UUAUAUUUCAACUUACCUUAUUAAGCAUUAAAAAUUCUAUUUCUCCAAACCAAACAUUAAUAUAAGUUUCUGUAGAUUGCUCUCGUGAAUGCAUAAAAAGUCAUUUGCAAAAUGCAAGGAUCAGUUACUUCUUUCAAUGUUCGUUAAAAGUUCAAUAUUUGUAAAAAGACCAUUCAAAAUACAUAUCUAUAAUAUAAAAAUGAAUCGCUAAAUGUGUUGCUAAGCGCAUAAGUCUUUUUGUUAGAAUAUUCCUUGAAGUACAAGGAUGGUUCUUACAGAGAAAAAAAAUUAAAAAAAUGGACUUAAAAAGUCUAAAGAUUAGAUAUAAAAAUGAAUUGAUGUUCGUUAGUUUCGCAAAAAGCGAAAACGGCCAAACCGAUCUGGCUAAUUUUAGUCUUGAAAUAUUUGUGGAAGGAACGGCCAGGAACGGAUUGGAAAAUUUCUUUCACUUCAUGGACUCGAAAGAGGAGCUUAUUCAUCGUGUGUUUUUCCUGACCCGAAGCCAAGGUAUAAUAACCAUAGAUGGCUGAGUUGAAUUUUCUAUAUUGGUGGUAAAAAACAAAGGAGAGUUGACACAGCUACAAACCAGACUGACGUAAUCAAUUAUCCCACAGACUAUUUAAAAUUGCCUGAACUAAAUUAAAAGUAUUGUGAGUUGUCAUCAUGCUGCGUAACAUAAAUCAAUCUCGACUUUGCAAUAGAACAAUACUGACUGUGAAGAAAGUAAUCAAUAUCGGCACCGAAGCCAGGAUUGAGCCAACUUUUAAAUUUGCAAUAAAAUAUAUCUAUUGAUCGAAACAACAAAAAUGAAAUCGAGGAAUUAAAUAUAAAUAAACAUUUCUAAAAACAACAUGAAGAUAAUGUCUUGAUAAUAACUUCAGCCAAUGCGAAUCAAUACAUCAAAGUAAUGUAUUCAUAGGCGUGACUGAACCUUUUCCUAAGUGAUUAGUUUAUACGCAAAUAAGUAUAUUAAAAAACACGUUUGUUAUGUUAUACAUAUGUACAUUAAUUUAUGUUUUUAUGAAUAAUUUACUGGAAGUACUAAGUUUAAACUCAUUUAAAUAGAAAAAAAAUGUUUUAAAGCAUAUUGAUUGUUUCAAUAUUUAUUAAACGAUUUUAACCGCAUGUUAUAUUAAUAUUAAAUUAAAUUUAGUUUUAUAGCAUUUCAAUAAAAUAAAAAUAAUAACCUCCAUAUUUCUAGUUCCUUUUUCGAUACUUAGUUGCUUACAAAUCGCAACUAUAUUUUACCCUAAUUCUCUUUUGUAUUAAUUGGUACAUAAAAUGACUAUUACAAAAACUACAGUUUAUACGCACCCACACACACACAU